UGCCAGCCGCCGCGGUAAUACGGAGGGUGCAAGCGUUGUUCGGAAUUACUGGGCGUAAAGCGCACGUAGGCGGACUGUUAAGUUAGAGGUGAAAUCCCGGGGCUCAACCCCGGAACUGCCUUUAAUACUGGCAGUCUAGAGUUCGAGAGAGGUGAGUGGAAUUCCGAGUGUAGAGGUGAAAUUCGUAGAUAUUCGGAGGAACACCAGAGGCGAAGGCGACACACUGGACCGAUACUGACGCUGAGGUGCGAAAGCGUGGGGAGCAAACAGGAUUAGAUA
rnacentral:rRNA from 1 species